CCAGCAUUAGUUGGGCACUCUAAGGGGACGUGCCGGUGAUAAGCCGAGAGGAAGGUGGGGAGUGACGUCAAGUCCUCAUGGCCCUUACGGGCUGGGCUACACACGUGCUACAAUGGUGGUGACAGUGGGCAGCGAGCACGCGAGUGUGAGCUAAUCUCCAAAAGCCAUCUCAGUUCGGAUUGCACUCUGCAACUCGAGUGCAUGAAGUUGGAAUCGCUAGUAAUCGCGGAUCAGCAUGCCGCGGUGAAUACGUUCCCGGGCCUU
rnacentral:rRNA from 1 species